UACGAAGGGGGCUAGCGUUGUUCGGAUUUACUGGGCGUAAAGCGCACGUAGGCGGGUUGUUAAGUCAGGGGUGAAAUCCUGGAGCUCAACUCCAGAACUGCCUUUGAUACUGGCAACCUAGAGGCUGGAAGAGGUUAGUGGAAUUCCCAGUGUAGAGGUGAAAUUCGUAGAUAUUGGGAAGAACACCAGUGGCGAAGGCGGCUCACUGGUCCGGUACUGACGCUGAGGCACGAAAGCGUGGGGAUCAA
rnacentral:rRNA from 1 species